rnacentral:piRNA from 1 species
UGAGAAGAGUCUGGUAGUCGAGGGAC